UCCAUCUCGCCUCCUCAAGUCCACGUUGCCACUGAUCUGCAACACUGCUCCGCCGUCUGCCCCUAGCCGCAUUCUGUUUUCUCGCUGCUGACUGCACCUGUCUCGUCGCCGACAGGUCCUGCUUCGCCGCCGACUACUCCAUCUGCAGUCUUAAUGGAUGCAGAAGGGAGUUCCCAAAGCCAACUAAAAAUUCCAGAUGCAGCUGCAAGAGAGAGUAGCAACUCUUCUGCACCAUCAAAUCAAAUUGAUGUGGGAGAGUAUGAAUACAAUGAAGGUGGUUUGAAGAAGGCAAAACUGCAAUCAAUGCUGAGAGUGUUGUUGGAUGAUCCUCUGCUGUCUGAUGUCCCCAAGAAUCCGACCUUGGCAGAUGUUGAUACCCUCCUCAGCCUUGAACUUGGCAGUGCCAUGCGUCUCUCUGUCUUAAAACUAGAUGGAACUUCAUUUGAGGUGACAGUGAUGAAUUCAGCAACAGUCAAAGAUUUAAAACUUGCUAUCAAGAAAAAAGUGAAUGACAUGGAGCAAUCCGGUUUGGGUCAUCGCCAUAUUUCUUGGAAGCAUGUAUGGGCAAAUUAUUGCUUGGCAUAUCAUAACAACAAACUCCUACAUGAUGAUGACCCGCUUCAGAAUUUUGGCAUACGUAAUAAUUCCCAGGUGCAUUUUGUGUCCUUUGUCAUGACCAAAGAGUCUCGUAGGCAUUCAAAGAGGAGAAAGCAUCGCUUUUUUCAUGGCCUUAAUAAGCUUUCACAUGAAAAAAAUUGUGAAGACUGAGCCCAUGGUGUCAUAGCUUGAUAUGAUAUCUUAAAAUGGUUGAGAGGUUGAGUUCUCUUUGUUACCUGCACUAACAGAAACAGGCUAUUAAGGGAAGGAACCACUCUUCUUAAAUAAAACAUCAAACAUCUCAUAUUACUCGAUGUGAGACCUUGGGCACCCCAUAAUACCCAAGUCCCUAUCAUACUUCUUUAUAACUAACUAUAUUCAGCUGAAUUUCACUAUUGGUCCAGCACUAAACCCCAAUGUCUGAGUCCCAACCUUUGAAGUCACCACUCACCAACCACCUAACUCAUAAAAUCCAGUAGUUUAGCAUUUAAUGAAUAGUUGACCUGUGGUUUAGCUUACUUGUUUAGAAAAUCAUUUCUAUUUUCUGAACUCUUAACUUUUUUUGUUCUUUUUAUUUUUAUUUUUUUAAUAAUUAUAAUCCAUAGAAAUUCCCAUCUUUUUGCUGCAAACCUGCCAUCACUACGCUGGAGUUUUAUCCCUUGAAUGUUUGACAAUGUCGUCUGCAAUACAAGAUCAAGUUGCCAUCAUUGAUUGAUUGAGCUCUUGUUGUCAUGCUAGAUACUAGAUAGGUUCAAGUGCUCAGUAAUUUUCAUUGUCAAAAUGAAUGUUUAAACUGUUAGUUAAUGUCCUAGAGCUAAUAUAGGGAUAAUGCCAAAAUGGUCUCGAAUUCAAGUAUUCAACUGGUGAAUCAAUCUUGUCCCCCAAUUUCAAAUAUGCCUAAAUAAGUCCCUCAAUUUAACAACCGUGAGUUGCCGUUGGUCAUUUGUAGGACUCAAUUUAGUACUUCCCAUCAUAUUAAAACCCAAGGCCCCAAUAGUUACAUGUUUAUUUCUUUUUUCUCUCGUCCUCUCAUCCAUUUCUCAGUGAUUUCUGCUUCUAUUUUCGUCUUAUGCUGCUUGUGCUUGCUGGGUCAUGAUGGGUGGUGGGGAGAAAGGUCAAGGGAACUCAAGUGAGGCUAGAGGGCUUUGGGGAUACACUUAAGUGAAAAACACAAUUCCUCUUCAAUAGUAAAAUACCUAGAUACCACCCUCUCCAAUUCUUAAAAGGGUUAUUGUUCAACAAAGGGCGACGGAGAACAAGAUUUGGAUAAUGAAGAGGAGACUCUUGGCAUAAAUGUGUUUGUGUGGACGAGCUAGAGGUCGUGUAGUUGUGUGGCUCAUCGUUUGCGGGACAAACAUCAAAUUCCACAAGACGUCACUUCAAGAGGUAAAGUAGAAACUACUUUGUGCUCCUAUGAAUUCAGAAGAGAGUGUCAUCAUGCUACUUGGGAACAAAGAUGGCCUUGUGGACCUGAGAAUGAUGUCUACUAUUGGGAAUGUGGAUGGUGGUUUUUCGAAUUGCUAGAAGAGAUUACUCGAGAUAAAGGAAAGAGAAGGGCAGUGCGGUUCACAGAUCACAAGAGUGUAAUGUAAGUAAAUAAAAGAUGAAAACUCACGCGUAGUCAAACUUAUCAAAUUAUCGAAUGGUUCUCAAAUAUCAAUUUCACAUAAAAAUAACUACAUGUGAGUUUCCACCUUUUCGAUACAUAUCUUGGUAAUUAAUCUAUUUUUUGUAUUUAUUUUACAAAGAUCUAAAAUUUUCUUUCUCUAUAUGCAUCUUCUAAACUUUUCAAAAAUCAUAAUAAAUUAUAUAUUUUUUGUUUCUAUUUGAUCUUUAAUAGUAUAAAACAAAUAACUCAUUUUAUCUCAGAAAUAUUUAUUUUAUUAAAAGAGUACUUGUUUUAUUCUGGAAUAACAAACAAAUGAGGCCUAGCACUAAAUACAUUAUACCCGUGAAAAUAUAAACAGAAAAAUAAUAUAUUAAUUUAAAAUUGAAACCAGCGCUGCAAACGUUGCUUUUUGACGUAAAAUAAAGAAGUAAAGAACACUAGAUGCUAUUAUGCUGGCCUUAGUCGAUUAUAGCGAUGUAAGAUGAUUUAUUUGAGAUCAAUUUUAUACAAUGUAUAAGCAAUUUAUAUAUUUAAAUCAUUAUUCAAGUAACAAAUUUGUAA